rnacentral:rRNA from 1 species
AGAGUUUGAUCCUGGCUCAGGAUAAACGCUAGCGGCAGGCCUAACACAUGCAAGUCGAGGGGCAGCGGAAGAAGUAGCUUGCUACUUCUGCCGGCGACCGGCGCACGGGUGCGUAACGCGUAUGCAACCUACCUUUAACAGGGGGAUAAUCCGAAGAAAUUUGGUCUAAUACCCCAUAAUAUUUCAGAAGGCAUCUUUUGAGGUUGAAAACUCCGGUGGUUAAAGAUGGGCAUGCGUUGUAUUAGCUAGAUGGUGAGGUAACGGCUCACCAUUGCGAUGAUACAUAGGGGGACUGAGAGGUUUUCCCCCCACACUGGUACUGAGACACGGACCAGACUCCUACGGGAGGCAGCAGUGAGGAAUAUUGGUCAAUGGACGCAAGUCUGAACCAGCCAUGCCGCGUGCAGGAUGAAGGUGCUAUGCAUUGUAAACUGCUUUUGUACGAGGGUAAAUUCAGAUACGUGUAUCUGUUUGAAAGUAUCGUACGAAUAAGGAUCGGCUAACUCCGUGCCAGCAGCCGCGGUAAUACGGAGGAUCCGAGCGUUAUCCGGAUUUAUUGGGUUUAAAGGGUGCGUAGGCGGUUUGAUAAGUUAGAGGUGAAAUACCGGUGCUUAACACCGGAACUGCCUCUAAUACUGUUGAACUAGAGAGUAGUUGCGGUAGGCGGAAUGUAUGGUGUAGCGGUGAAAUGCUUAGAGAUCAUACAGAACACCGAUUGCGAAGGCAGCUUACCAAACUAUAUCUGACGUUGAGGCACGAAAGCGUGGGGAGCAAACAGGAUUAGAUACCCUGGUAGUCCACGCAGUAAACGAUGAUAACUCGCUGUCGGCGAUACACAGUCGGCGGCUAAGCGAAAGCGAUAAGUUAUCCACCUGGGGAGUACGUUCGCAAGAAUGAAACUCAAAGGAAUUGACGGGGGCCCGCAC